rnacentral:rRNA from 1 species
AGUGAACGCUGGCGGCGUGCUUAACACAUGCAAGUCGAACGGUAACAGUAAGAAGCUUGCUUCUUAGCUGACGAGUGGCGCACGGGUGAGUAAUGCAUAGGUAACGUGCCCUUUAGUCUGGGAUAGCCACUGGAAACGGUGAUUAAUACCGGAUACUCCUUCUGAUUGAUUUUCAGAAGGGAAAGGUUUUUCGCUAAGGGAUCGGCCUAUGUCCUAUCAGGUAGUUGGUGAGGUAAGAGCUCACCAAGCCAAUGACGGGUAGCGGGUUUGAGAGGAUGAUCCGCCACACUGGUACUGAGACACGGACCAGACUCCUACGGGAGGCAGCAGUGAGGAAUAUUGCACAAUGGGGGAAACCCUGAUGCAGCAACGCCGCGUGGAGGAUGACGCAUUUCGGUGUGUAAACUCCUUUUAUCAGAGAAGAUAAUGACGGUAUCUGAUGAAUAAGCACCGGCUAACUCCG